GGAUUAAGAGCUUGCUCUUAUGAAGUUAGCGGCGGACGGGUGAGUAACACGUGGGUAACCUGCCCAUAAGACUGGGAUAACUCCGGGAAACCGGGGCUAAUACCGGAUAACAUUUUGAACCGCAUGGUUCGAAAUUGAAAGGCGGCUUCGGCUGUCACUUAUGGAUGGACCCGCGUCGCAUUAGCUAGUUGGUGAGGUAACGGCUCACCAAGGCAACGAUGCGUAGCCGACCUGAGAGGGUGAUCGGCCACACUGGGACUGAGACACGGCCCAGACUCCUACGGGAGGCAGCAGUAGGGAAUCUUCCGCAAUGGACGAAAGUCUGACGGAGCAACGCCGCGUGAGUGAUGAAGGCUUUCGGGUCGUAAAACUCUGUUGUUAGGGAAGAACAAGUGCUAGUUGAAUAAGCUGGCACCUUGACGGUACCUAACCAGAAAGCCACGGCUAACUACGUGCCAGCAGCCGCGGUAAUACGUAGGUGGCAAGCGUUAUCCGGAAUUAUUGGGCGUAAAGCGCGCGCAGGUGGUUUCUUAAGUCUGAUGUGAAAGCCCACGGCUCAACCGUGGAGGGUCAUUGGAAACUGGGAGACUUGAGUGCAGAAGAGGAAAGUGGAAUUCCAUGUGUAGCGGUGAAAUGCGUAGAGAUAUGGAGGAACACCAGUGGCGAAGGCGACUUUCUGGUCUGUAACUGACACUGAGGCGCGAA
rnacentral:rRNA from 1 species